rnacentral:rRNA from 1 species
ACGCUAGCUACAGGCUUAACACAUGCAAGUCGAGGGGCAGCAUGGUCUUAGCUUGCUAAGGCCGAUGGCGACCGGCGCACGGGUGAGUAACACGUAUCCAACCUGCCGUCUACUCUUGGACAGCCUUCUGAAAGGAAGAUUAAUACAAGAUGGCAUCAUGAGUCCACAUGUUCACAUGAUUAAAGGUAUUCCGGUAGACGAUGGGGAUGCGUUCCAUUAGAUAGUAGGCGGGGUAAUGGCCCACCUAGUCUUCGAUGGAUAGGGGUUCUGAGAGGAAGGUCCCCCACAUUGGAACUGAGACACGGUCCAAACUCCUACGGGAGGCAGCAGUGAGGAAUAUUGGUCAAUGGGCGAGAGCCUGAACCAGCCAAGUAGCGUGAAGGAUGACUGCCCUAUGGGUUGUAAACUUCUUUUAUAAAGGAAUAAAGUCGGGUAUGCAUACCCGUUUGCAUGUACUUUAUGAAUAAGGAUCGGCUAACUCCGUGCCAGCAGCCGCGGUAAUACGGAGGAUCCGAGCGUUAUCCGGAUUUAUUGGGUUUAAAGGGAGCGUAGAUGGAUGUUUAAGUCAGUUGUGAAAGUUUGCGGCUCAACCGUAAAAUUGCAGUUGAUACUGGAUAUCUUGAGUGCAGUUGAGGCAGGCGGAAUUCGUAGUGUAGCGGUGAAAUGCUUAGAUAUCACGAAGAACUCCGAUUGCGAAGGCAGCCUGCUAAGCUGCAACUGACAUUGAGGCUCGAAAGUGUGGGUAUCAAACAGGAUUAGAUACCCUGGUAGUCCACACGGUAAACGAUGAAUACUCGCUGUUUGCGAUAUACAGCAAGCGGCCAAGCGAAAGCGUUAAGUAUUCCACCUGGGGAGUACGCCGGCAACGGUGAAACUCAAAGGAAUUGACGGGGGCCCGCACAAGCGGAGGAACAUGUGGUUUAAUUCGAUGAUACGCGAGGAACCUUACCCGGGCUUAAAUUGCAGAUGAAUUACGGUGAAAGCCGUAAGCCGCAAGGCAUCUGUGAAGGUGCUGCAUGGUUGUCGUCAGCUCGUGCCGUGAGGUGUCGGCUUAAGUGCCAUAACGAGCGCAACCCUUGUUGUCAGUUACUAACAGGUUCCGCUGAGGACUCUGACAAGACUGCCAUCGUAAGAUGUGAGGAAGGUGGGGAUGACGUCAAAUCAGCACGGCCCUUACGUCCGGGGCUACACACGUGUUACAAUGGGGGGUACAGAGGGCCGCUACCACGCGAGUGGAUGCCAAUCCCAAAAACCUCUCUCAGUUCGGACUGGAGUCUGCAACCCGACUCCACGAAGCUGGAUUCGCUAGUAAUCGCGCAUCAGCCACGGCGCGGUGAAUACGUUCCCGGGCCU